UUUCUGCAGUGAAGAAUGAAGAAGAAAAUUCACAUGUUAGACUCUAGAGAUUUUUAUGAUCAAUGAGAAUGGCAACUUAUUCACUAAGCAGAAA
rnacentral:snoRNA from 14 species